rnacentral:rRNA from 1 species
GAGUUUGAUCAUGGCUCAGAUUGAACGCUGGCGGCAGGCCUAACACAUGCAAGUCGAACGGUAACAGGAAGAAGCUUGCUUCUUUGCUGACGAGUGGCGGACGGGUGAGUAAUGUCUGGGAAACUGCCUGAUGGAGGGGGAUAACUACUGGAAACGGUAGCUAAUACCGCAUAACGUCGCAAGACCAAAGAGGGGGACCUUCGGGCCUCUUGCCAUCGGAUGUGCCCAGAUGGGAUUAGCUAGUAGGUGGGGUAACGGCUCACCUAGGCGACGAUCCCUAGCUGGUCUGAGAGGAUGACCAGCCACACUGGAACUGAGACACGGUCCAGACUCCUACGGGAGGCAGCAGUGGGGAAUAUUGCACAAUGGGCGCAAGCCUGAUGCAGCCAUGCCGCGUGUAUGAAGAAGGCCUUCGGGUUGUAAAGUACUUUCAGCGGGGAGGAAGGGAGUAAAGUUAAUACCUUUGCUCAUUGACGUUACCCGCAGAAGAAGCACCGGCUAACUCCGUGCCAGCAGCCGCGGUAAUACGGAGGGUGCAAGCGUUAAUCGGAAUUACUGGGCGUAAAGCGCACGCAGGCGGUUUGUUAAGUCAGAUGUGAAAUCCCCGGGCUCAACCUGGGAACUGCAUCUGAUACUGGCAAGCUUGAGUCUCGUAGAGGGGGGUAGAAUUCCAGGUGUAGCGGUGAAAUGCGUAGAGAUCUGGAGGAAUACCGGUGGCGAAGGCGGCCCCCUGGACGAAGACUGACGCUCAGGUGCGAAAGCGUGGGGAGCAAACAGGAUUAGAUACCCUGGUAGUCCACGCCGUAAACGAUGUCGACUUGGAGGUUGUGCCCUUGAGGCGUGGCUUCCGGAGCUAACGCGUUAAGUCGACCGCCUGGGGAGUACGGCCGCAAGGUUAAAACUCAAAUGAAUUGACGGGGGCCCGCACAAGCGGUGGAGCAUGUGGUUUAAUUCGAUGCAACGCGAAGAACCUUACCUGGUCUUGACAUCCACGGAAGUUUUCAGAGAUGAGAAUGUGCCUUCGGGAACCGUGAGACAGGUGCUGCAUGGCUGUCGUCAGCUCGUGUUGUGAAAUGUUGGGUUAAGUCCCGCAACGAGCGCAACCCUUAUCCUUUGUUGCCAGCGGUCCGGCCGGGAACUCAAAGGAGACUGCCAGUGAUAAACUGGAGGAAGGUGGGGAUGACGUCAAGUCAUCGUGGCCCUUACGACCAGGGCUACACACGUGCUACAAUGGCGCAUACAAAGAGAAGCGACCUCGCGAGAGCAAGCGGACCUCAUAAAGUGCGUCGUAGUCCGGAUUGGAGUCUGCAACUCGACUCCAUGAAGUCGGAAUCGCUAGUAAUCGUGGAUCAGAAUGCCACGGUGAAUACGUUCCCGGGCCUUGUACACACCGCCCGUCACACCAUGGGAGUGGGUUGCAAAAGAAGUAGGUAGCUUAACCUUCGGGAGGGCGCUUACCACUUUGUGAUUCAUGACUGGGGUGAAGUCGAAACAAGGUA